AGUGAACGCUGGCGGUAGGCCUAACACAUGCAAGUCGAACGGCAGCACAGUAAGAGCUUGCUCUUACGGGUGGCGAGUGGCGGACGGGUGAGGAAUACAUCGGAAUCUACUUUGUCGUGGGGGAUAACGUAGGGAAACUUACGCUAAUACCGCAUACGACCUACGGGUGAAAGCAGGGGAUCUUCGGACCUUUCGCGAUGGAAAGAGCCGAUGUCGGAUUAGAUAGUUGGCGGGGUAAAGGCCCACCAAGGCGACGAUCCGUAGCUGGUCUGAGAGGAUGAUCAGCCACACUGGAACUGAGACACGGUCCAGACUCCUACGGGAGGCAGCAGUGGGGAAUAUUGGGCAAUGGGCGCAAGCCUGAUCCAGCCAUACCGCGUGAGUGAAGAAGGCCUUCGGGUUGUAAAGCCCUUUUGUUGGGAAAGAAAAGCAGCAGGUUAAUCCGCCGCUAUUCUGACGGUACCCAAAGAAUAAGCACCGGCUAACUUCGUG
rnacentral:rRNA from 1 species